UACGUAGGGUGCAGGCGUUAAUCGGAAUUACUGGGCGUAAAGCGUGCGCAGGCGGUUUGCUAAGACAGGUGUGAAAUCCCCGGGCUUAACCUGGGAACUGCGCUUGUUACUGGCAAGCUAGAGUGCGGCAGAGGGGGGUGGAAUUCCACGUGUAGCAGUGAAAUGCGUAGAGAUGUGGAGGAACACCGAUGGCGAAGGCAGCCCCCUGGGCUAACACUGACGCUCAUGCACGAAAGCGUGGGGAGCAAACAGG
rnacentral:rRNA from 1 species